UACAGAGGGUGCGAGCGUUAAUCGGAAUUACUGGGCGUAAAGGGCGCGUAGGCGGCCUGCUAAGUCGAACGUGAAAUCCCUGGGCUCAACCCAGGAACUGCGUCCGAUACUGGUUGGCUUGAAUCCGGGAGAGGGAUGCGGAAUUCCAGGUGUAGCGGUGAAAUGCGUAGAUAUCUGGAGGAACACCGGUGGCGAAGGCGGCAUCCUGGACCGGUAUUGACGCUGAGGCGCGAAAGCCAGGGGAGCAAACGGG
rnacentral:rRNA from 1 species